UUAUUUGAAAAAGGCUACAACCUACAAUACCGGGUUAAUAUUGAUUUUAUUAAUAAAGUGGGCCUAAGAGCAGCCAUCUUAUAGAAAGCGUUAAAGCUCAACUAUCUCCUCUCUCAAAUUCCAAAAAUUAUCUUCAACCCUUCAUUACUACUGAACUAUUUUAUAUCUUUAUAAAAGUUAUUAUGCUAGAACUAGUAACAAGAAUUAGCCCUUCUCCAAAAUGCACACUUAAGCCAAAAUGGACACCCCAUUGGCAGUUACCGCAAAUGCACCCAUUAUAGUACCUCCCACUAGACAACUCUAUAACCCUAAGCGUUAACCUGACACUAGAGCAUUACAGGAAAGAUUAAAAGAGAAAGAAGGAACUCGGCAAAUCUCGGUCCCGCCUGUUUACCAAAAACAUCGCCUCUUGACCAAAUAUAAGAGGUCCAGCCUGCCCACUGACAUAGUUUAACGGCCGCGGUACCCUAACCGUGCGAAGGUAGCAUAAUCACUUGUUCUUUAAAUAAGGACUUGUAUCAACGGCAUCACGAGGACUAUACUGUCUCCUUUCUCCAAUCAGUGAAACUGAUCUCCCCGUGAAGAAGCGGGGAUUACCCU
rnacentral:rRNA from 1 species